rnacentral:rRNA from 1 species
UACAGAGGGUGCAAGCGUUAAUCUGAAUUACUGGGCGUAAAGCGCGCGUAGGUGGUUCGUUAAGUUGGAUGUGAAAUCCCCGGGCUCAACCGGGGAAUUGCACGGCGAACCGCAUGUCUUGAGACAAGUAGAGACGGUCGGAACGAUAGGUGGAGUGGUGAAAUGCGUUGAUAUCUAUCGGAACGCCAAAGGUGAAGACAGACCGCUGGGCUUGUUCUGACGCUGAGGCACGAAAGCGUGGGGAGCAAACGGG